GGACUCAGCUCAAGCGCUUGGAUCCCUACAGCACCUGCGAGGGCUUCUCCUGGCUGCCGCUUUCGUUCUGGCGAAUGUUCGGGGUGGCAGCCCCCCUUCGAGGCUUGCACGAGGGCGUCCCGGCAUCCGCGAUCAAGCGGGCCCUGCUGCUUUUGGGGCUGACCCUGCGGCUGGGGUGCUGCGGCGUCGCUCUGGCUAUGCCCGGUCCACUCACGGACUCCCUGCUUUGGCCUGCUCAGCUCAGGAGAACCGGGCCCGACUCCAUUUCGGGCAGUGGUGGACAGGGAAACUAGUGCCUGCCUGUAGUGGUCCCAGGCAUAGAGCUUCCUGCAGCUACCCUGUGGCUUAGUUCACGUUUUGUUGCUUUGACCACCGAUGAGAAAUGUGCAGUAGGGACCCUGUAGGAGUCUGCUUACCCGAAAUGGUUUCUGUCUUGAAUAGUUGUUGAGUGAAAGGACCAGGUUGAUGGUGAACAUCAUCACUGGAAAGUCAGGAAAGGUUAUAGUCCCUACUUUGCAGAGGAAGAAGGACUACUCAGAAGCAGCUGACCUCCUUGGGCAAAGCGAAAUGCCAUCUAAAAGAAUGCAUAGCUCUUGCUGCUGCUCACUCUUUGGGUCUGUGCCGCCUUCAUGAGCUGUGACACUCACCGUGAAGUUUUGCAGCUUCGCUCCUAAAGCCAGCGAGACCACGAACCCACUGGGAGGGACAGCAACUCUGGACGCGCCACUUUUACGAACUGUAGCACUCACCGCAAAGGUCUGCAGCUUCACUCCUGAGGCCAGCGAGACCACGAACCCACCGUGAAGGAACG